rnacentral:rRNA from 1 species
AUGUCACCAUUCAGGUUAAUAUAUGGAAAAGCAUGCCAUCUACCCGUUGAACUUGAACACAAAGCUCAAUGGGCACUAAGGAAACUCAAUAUGGACCUUGAUGCAGUAGGAAAAUACAGAAAACUUCAACUCUGUGAAAUGGAAGAACUGAGAGCUGACUCUUACGAGAGUGCAAGAAUUUACAAAGAAAAGACCAAGAUCUGGCAUGACAAGCAUAUAUUGAGGAAAGAAUUUCAUCUUGGACAGUUGGUAUUGGUCUAUGAUACUAGGUUUCAUUUAUUUCCUGGUAAAUUCAAGUCAAGAUGGUAUGGCCCUUGCAAGGUGAAGAAGAUUCUGCAAAAUGGUGCUAUUCAAGUGCAAAGUACUUCUGGAGGUCUCUUCCUUGUAAACGGUCAAAGACUGAAGCCCUACAUCCCUGGAGAUCCACUUCUUAUUUCUGAAGAUGAGAAUGCAAGCGAAGAUCAAGACCCAGAGGAGGAAAUUCAAGAAGGCGAGGGGACCCAAGAGGUGUCAAUCCCUGCAGGACCCUGA